rnacentral:lncRNA from 1 species
UUUAAAAAAAAAUUAUGUGAAUAUACAAAAUGAGUGGUGACUGGUGAGUUUCAUGCCAUAUUAGUAAACUAGUAUACUAUGAAAGGGAGUGUAUGAAGCUAAAAUUGGGCAUAAAUCCCAAAGAAAUGGAAAAAAGACAUAGUCGAAGAAAUGGAAAAAAGACAUAGUCGAGUUCCUACAUGCUGUAUUGCUGUGGAUGCUACGAAUAGAAGGCCAUCGUAGCCGACCCAGCGGGAUAAUGGAUAAUGCGCUGGCAAGAAAAUGGGAAUCACCGGUGUUUUGUUCCCA